rnacentral:rRNA from 1 species
GACAGAGGGUGCAAACGUUGUUCGGAAUUACUGGGCGUAAAGCGAGUGUAGGCGGUCUCGUAAGUCGGGUGUGAAAGCCCUGGGCUCAACCCAGGAAGUGCACUCGAAACUGCGAGGCUAGAGUACUGGAGAGGUUGGUGGAAUUCUCGGUGUAGAGGUGAAAUUCGUAGAUAUCGAGAGGAACACCGGUGGCGAAGGCGGCCAACUGGACAGAUACUGACGCU